UGGACGAAAACUGACGNUGAGGCGCGAAAGCCAGGGGAGCGAACGGGAUUAGAUACCCCGGUAGUCCUGNCCGUAAACGAUGGGUACUAGGUGUAGGAGGUAUCGACCCCUUCUGUGCCGGAGUUAACGCAAUAAGUACCCCGCCUGGGGAGUACGACCGCAAGGUUGAAACUCAAAGGAAUUGACGGGGGCCCGCACAAGCGGUGGAGUAUGUGGUUUAAUUCGACGCAACGCGAAGAACCUUACCAGGUCUUGACAUUGACGGACAGAACUAGAGAUAGUUCCUCUUCUUCGGAAGCCAGAAAACAGGUGGUGCACGGUUGUCGUCAGCUCGUGUCGUGAGAUGUUGGGUUANNNNNNNANAAAANNNCGCAACCCCUAUCUUAUGUUGCCAGCACUUUGGGUGGGAACUCAUGAGAGACUGCCGCAGACAAUGCGGAGGAAGGCGGGGAUGACGUCAAAUCAUCAUGCCCCUUAUGACCUGGGCUACACACGUACUACAAUGGGAGUUAAUAGACGGAAGCAAAACCGCGAGGUGGAGCAAACCCGAGAAACACUCUCUCAGUUCGGAUCGUAGGCUGCAACUCGCNUACGUGAAGUCGGAAUCGCUAGUAAUCGCAGGUCAGCAUACUGCGGUGAAUACGUUCCCGGGCCU
rnacentral:rRNA from 1 species